UAAUACCAGCUCCUCGAGUGGUCGGGGGCGAUUAUUGGGCCUAAAAGCAUCCGUAGCUGGUUCCGUAGGUCCUCUGUUAAAUCCAAUAGCUCAACUAUUGACCUGCAGAGGAUACCGCUGGGCUAGGAGGCGGGAGGAGGCGGACGGUACUCCGAGGGUAGGGGUAAAAUCCUUUGAUCCCCGGAAGACCACCAGUGGCGAAGGCGGUCCGCCAGAACGCGCUCGACGGUGAGGGAUGAAAGCGUGGGGGAGCGAACCGGAUUAGAUACCCGGGUAGUCCCAGCUGUAAACGAUGCGAGCUAGGUGACACGACGCCUUCGGGGCGUCGUGGUGCCGCAGGGAAGCCGUUAAGCUCGCCGCCUGGGGAGUACGGACGCAAGCCUGAAACUCAAAUGAAUUGACGGCGUCAGCUGA
rnacentral:rRNA from 1 species